UAUACAUAUGAAUUUUGAUUUAGUCAUUACUAACUUAUAAAAUUUUAUUGGUAAAAAGAAUGAUAUAAUAUGCUCUUAAUGUAAUUGGAAAUUUCUGGGUAUCUUUCAUUAAAAUAUACAAAUUAUGAAUUAUGUUGUUUUUGACAGUCAUUAUUCUUUCAUUAAUGUUUUAAAUGCUAAUGAAACCAAGAAAUUUAAUAUUGUACUAUUUAUGUUUUAAAUAGCACAAUAUAAAAAAAUCUUAGUGGUCAAAAGCUGUUGUAAAUUGAGAAACCUGAAAGUACCAGAGUCAUUUGAAAAAUUUUAUUUUUAUUUUUUAUAGUUCAAGUACUGAAUGAAUAUUAAAUGAUACGUAUUGAGUUUCAACUAAAAAUCCAAGUAACUACACUUUUGACCAAGACCAGAUUUUAUAGUCUUUAGUAAUCUGAAUCCGUUUUUAACUGAGAAAAAUGUUGAUCUCACUACCUGAGUUUGAUACAAGAUACAAAAUAAACUGUAAAGUAAUGAAGUAUUUGCAUGAGUAUAGGGCUUUCUGAACAUAUUUUAAGCACUUCUACCUAAAACAUAAAAAUUAAAACCAACGAAUUACUUUGUAUUCGUGUGUUGUUUUAAAGUUAUUUUAAGACACAGUACACAUGAGUUGUGACGGGCUUUGAUAAAUGUGGCUGGGUCUGACCAGGAACUCGCACCCACUUAAGUUGCUGCUCCUGCCAAAAGAUUUGGAAACAAUGUUGGAAUACAAAAGUGAAAUUGAAGAUGUAUGUUAGAAAAACCAGGUAUUCGAAAAUUCUGAGGUUUUGAUUUUGACAGACGUUUCCUUCAGAGAUCUUUCUUUCAUAUUGCUACCAAGCACUGUACUCAUAACUACAUAAACUGGCACACGGCAUCACAUCUUCAUUACUGUACGUGCUAUAACUCAAAACCCAAAGAUUGAAAACAUUUAACAACCACAUGAAUACUCUCAGUACUUUUGGAGGAAUAAAAACUGGAGAGAUUGUGGCCAGGGAUAUAGGCGUGAAGAACAAGCACCGUAUGUUACAUCAACAUUGAAUUUUAUAAAAUGCCCACAUGCACCCUUCACGUGAAGAAAUGGGGACGAUCAAGACUACACUGAGAAGAAUAGUGCUGUUUAUGCCCUGUAUCAG
rnacentral:lncRNA from 1 species